GUCUACAGCUAUGCCACCCUGAACAAGCCCAAUCCUGUCUGAUCUUGGAAGCUAAGCAGGGUCGGGCCUGGUUAGUACUUGGAUGGGAGACCAAGUAAAAAGACCAGGUGCUGUAGGCA
rnacentral:rRNA from 1 species